GUGUCCAUCCGGGCAGCACACACUCUAUCACUGGAACAAUACAAAGAAGAUUAACAUGGCCCCUGUGCAAGGAUGACACGCAAAUUCACGAAGCAUUCCUUUA